UACGAAGGGUGCAACCGUUGCUCGGAAUUAUUGGGCGUAAAGCGCACGUAGGCGGCUUGGCAAGUCGGAUGUGAAAGCCCUCGGCUCAACCAAGGAAGUGCAUCCGAAACUGCUGAGCUUGAGUACUUAAGAGGAUCGCGGAAUUCCCGGUGUAGAGGUGAAAUUCGUAGAUAUUGGGAGGAACACCAGUGGCGAAGGCGGCUCACUGGACCGGUACUGACGCUGAUGCGCGAAAGCGUGGGGAGCAAACGGG
rnacentral:rRNA from 1 species